UGACUGCGAUUGCACGCUGCGGGCGUUGCAGC
rnacentral:sRNA from 1 species